CAGCCGCCGCGGUAAUACGAAGGGGGCUAGCGUUGUUCGGAUUUACUGGGCGUAAAGGGCGCGUAGGCGGUGAGUUAAGUCUGUUGUGAAAUCCCCGGGCUCAACCUGGGAAUGGCAAUGGAUACUGGAUCGCUAGAGUGUGAUAGAGGAUGGUGGAAUUCCCGGUGUAGCGGUGAAAUGCGUAGAGAUCGGGAGGCACAUCAGCGGCGAAGGCGGCCAUCUGGAUCAACACUGACGCUGAAGCACGAAAGCGUGGGGAGCAAACAGGAUUAGAUACCCCGGUAGUCCCUGUCUCUUAUAC
rnacentral:rRNA from 1 species